AGUAGUUGAGCUUCUAAAAUUGUAGCUGAGCACAAGGGAUACCAUGGACAGAUUUUUUUUUCAGUGUGUUUUACCUCGAGCUAAUUGUUGGUCAGUUAUCCUGGCAUUACAUUCAUGUUACAGGUAGAUAGGUUUGGGAGUCUAUUUUGGAGAGCACUGCAGCUAAUGAAAAUUCAUAAUCCUCAACCAGUGGGUUGCUGAAAUCUGGGAUGCUAUAAAGGGAAAAGCUGUUCCUCAGGAUGGUGCUGAUCAUGCUCAGGCUAGAAGGAUUCUGAUGUAGCUGUUCUGGGAACAGCUUCUGUUUCUCCUGUUGCUGUGAAACAUGACCUGGUACUGUAUUCAGCACCUGUAAGGACAUGGUACUGAACUCUUUCAGUCUCUAGAUUGAGUUUCUUUCAUGGUGGUUCUAAAUGUAUCCAUGGAACUGCCAGACUGGUGGGUCAGUAAUGGUUUGACUUUUCCCUGUGGCCAGAUUGAUUUUUGCAGUGGCAGUGUAAUUAAUGUGUUACCCUCCCCUCCCUGAGAAGUUGAUUAAUUGCUGUGGAGGUCAGAUGCAUUGAUAAGAACUCCCUCAUUUAGGGGCAGCUUUGAACACCUGGAAACAGCCAGAGCAUCUUCCAGGAAAGUAUCUGCUCUGUUAGUUAGUGAUUGGUAGAAAUCAGGCAAGAAAUUUUGAGUUUCAAGUUUUCCUGUAACUAAUUAUGGGCAUCACCAAAACUUGCUGUUUCUAAAAUCUUGCUUUGGAUUCUACACUUCAUGGCUUGCUGUAAACAAAGUCAGGUGACAGAAAUAGCUUCAUUGGUGAGCUCUCUUGGAGUCAGAACUGAGGUACUCAUUUCUAUUUAGAUGGGACUUUUUUUUUGGUGUAAGUGUUGCUGAAUUGCAUGGAUAAAAUGUCUGACUUGUGUGUAGGAGGCUAAGUGCACUCCAGGAUUUUAUUUCAGUAUCCAUCAGGCUAUAUUAGCUAGCCUGGCUUAAUCAUCCAUGAUGGAGGCUAUGUGGUGACUUCAGUUUUUUAAAAUUUAUUUGAAACAGCAGCCAGAAGUCUUUGGCCACUGUGAGAAGUUGGGUUGUGUCACAGGGAGAAUUGCAGACAUAAAGGGGAGACUGUUGAGCCUCAUGGGUACAAGGAACCCCCAGUUGUAGUCCUUGGUGGGCUAAGAGAUCCUUCCAACAUAAAUGUGACAGAAAGAACUUGACACCGAGCAGCUCAGCUGUCAGCUCGAAUUACCACAGCUGGGCCUUCAUUUUUGGGCUGUAGUAAUCUCCUUUGUAGUGCUUUACAAUAACUUUUUCUUCUCUGGGCAAGAAAGGAAAAAUAUGUGGACAAAUUGAGGCUUCAGAAAAGGAAGGGGAGCACACCUUCCCCAAGUUUUGCUUUUGCCAGCCUUGUAAGAAUUGUAAUUGUGUGAAGUUCCCAGCUGAGCUCAAAUGCAGUUCCUUCUGCUUCAGUGAACACGUGGCUGUAUUUGGGGAUAAGGUUUUUCUUGAUGGUGUGAUUUAGAUAGCAAGUAUAUUAUUUCAGGUUACUGGAGGUUGAAGGAAAAAGCCACAAAUUAUUAUCAAGCCUGGGUAAUGGGUGGGUGCUGCUUAGGAGAAAAGGGAAAGAAGUAGGUGUGGAAGGAUAGAAGGAAGAAUGCUGUUACAUUGCUGCUGCAAAGUCAGUAGUUAAUGCUUUAUGAGAGGAUUACAGAAUUAUACAAGACUUAAAGUUGAUAACUUGUUUAUUUCCCAUCUCACAACUCUAAAUGUAGGCAGUCACACACGAAGGUACACAGCUCUGGGUAAGUACCACAGGUAUUUCAUUUGCACAGACUGUGAAACAGGGAGCUGCUUUGGUGGCAAACUUGUGCAGAGGAGAAGUUCAGGACGUGCAGAGAGGAAGGCUGUAGUUGCAGGGGGAAAGAUGUCAGGAGUGUUAAGCAAAAAGAACAAGCAGCCUGCAUUUUUCCUAGAAGUGCCAGCACUGCCAAAGCCAUGGGAUCUUAGUCAUGUAGCUUGUUAAGGAAAUGUGUGAGACACAGGAGAAAUAAGGUGUGAGGUUUGAAUGGCAAGGCAGGACAAGCUGAGAUUGCUGUGUGGCUGGCAAGGAGCACCCUUUGGCUUGUGCAGAGCCUGCAGCUGUGGCUGUGAGUGGAAAGGAGGUGACUCCACUCUGCUGCCUGGAGCUCUGGUCCCCUGCUUGCAUAGCACUGGCAGGGCCUGCAGGAGGCAUUUCUGUCUGGUGCCAGGUCACACUGCUGCCUGCAGCCUGGAAGGUUGAUUCCCUCCCCACAAUAUCCAGCUAAAAGAGCACCACUGUGUCUUCAGGGGGUUAAAAUCAGCUGAAAACACUUCCAUUUUUUUUCAGUUAAUUUUUAUCCACUAUCAAGAUUCUUAUUCUUUAACCCAUUACCUACCUGAAGACCUGACCCUACAGCUUUGCUUAGGCUGGGAGCUCUGGGACAGGGAGUUUCUGCUGGCAGGCUGGUACAGGACAUUCUAGUUGGUAAUUCAGGUUGUACCAGGGUGGUACUGCUGAUGUCUGCAGCAGUGGAGAGUGCUGCCCACUUUGGCAGAGAAUGUGAGUAGCAGCAGGCACGAGCUGAGGCUCCAGCACUUGAAUGAGGUGCGAGCAGUCCCCUCCUUAAAGCUUUAGGAGUUACUGUUCUAUCAUAUUCACUGUCCAGAUGGGCUUUGGAAUGCCCAUAACCCUCAUGGGCAGGUAAAAGGUGAAACUUGACAGGAGAAUUAAAACAAUUGAAGUCACAACAAUAAAGAAGCAAUCAGCCCUUGCUGGAUGCUGUCCCACCUGCCAGGUGCUGACAGCUCCAGGGUCUGAGGGGUGCAGUACUUGUUCAAAGACUGAUAGUUGCAUACCAAUCUUGCCACAGACCUCUUGAAUGAUGCUGUUACAUGAAGAUGUGCUCCCACUACAGUAAAUUUGGAGGAGCAAGCCUGAUAUUUUGACACAUCAGGUGAAAGGCCUUUUAAUUUAAAAAAAGCUAACUUCUGUCAUUCUGGCAUCCCAAGAAAUGAAGCAUUCUCAGUUUGAAGUGGAGAUUCUUUUGUUGCUUGCAGGUGCCUCGAUUCUGAGUUAUCCCUGCUGGUGACAGAGACCUGGUUUCCAGGUGUUUUUGGGAAGCUGUUGGACACCCAGGUGCACAUGGUUGGUACAUGGUUGGCUCCUGGAUGACAGUGCUGUGCUGGCUUUGCAGAGCAGUGUCCUGCACUGUGGGAGUCUCCUGCCAUGCACUCGGUGAGGCCAAGGACUCUGCAGGACACAGAUGGGGUUCCUCCCCAGCUGGCACCCCACUGUCCUUCAGGGAAUGGACAAAACAGGAAAGAUAUUAAAGACUGCUUUGGGGGAGCUCUUCUCUCCAUGGGAACUGACCUAGUUUUUACCUUGAGUUAGCACAAAGACAGUUUGUGCUGGUUUUAAUGCUAUUAGAACUUGAACAGUGUAUUGCACCCACAAUGUCUGAAACAGAUAUUCUAAACUAAUAGUUCAAAAUAGAGCUUUUUUUUUUUUUUUUGGUCAGAGCAGAAACUACAUUAUUUAGCAGCCACUGGUUCUCUUCACUUUAGCUGGUAACUGAAGGAACUCAUGUUUUUGAUUCACAAGCUUUACAUACUUCUGUUUUAUUUGACCAAAUGAAGUCUGGGCAGUUUUAGGUCAUUAAGACACAUGGCUGCUUUUACAAGAAGCUUCCUAAGUGGAUACCUGCAGAAGGACAGGAACAGAUAGAGCCAACACCCCUAAACAAAAAACCCCAAACCACCCCUGACUCCAAUCCCUUUGUCUCCUUUAUGUAACUCAAUGCAGAACUGUUUAUCUGAGCAGUUCAGCUGGUUCUGCCCUAAAAUUCAGAAGGAUUGGUGGUGUUCACUCACAUCAGGAGCUUCAGUUUAUUUUGUAUGCAAAUCUGCAUUUCUGGCUCCUGUUGUGAAGGUUCAGCUCCAGAAAAAGGGAUGCUGAUGGUCUCACAUCUGAUUCUUCAUGUUGCAAAUGGACACUUCUUAUGGACAAUGGUCUUGUCCAUUUAGCUCAGAGAGCUUUGUCAGAGGCUGUACCUGACCAGCCAGAAACCCCAUUCUCACAGGUUUAGCUGCUGCCUUUGGACACUGUGCACAUCCCCAGUCUGGGAUGCACACGUGUUCACCCAGGUACUGUCCAUUGGCAGAACAAUGGGAGUCACUCCAGCCCAAAUCCAGAUGUCAAGGGAGCAGGAGGGAAAUCUGGGCUUGGUUCAUCUGUUGCCAUCUCACACACAGGUACACUUUGCCAUUUAAUGAGCAGCUUGGGGGAUGAGAUGACUUUCAAGUGUCUAAUCACUUAAAACCUGAGGAGGUGGCACAGCAUCUGUGACAGUUUGUUCAGGAAACACUGAGGGUUAUGGUGAGAAUCGGGAAGUGGUGCUGGGUAUUAAACAAAGGAUGGUAUUUUGUGAUGAAAUCCUCUUCAGAGCAGUCUGUGGGGUGGCUGUGUUGAGCACAAUGGGUUUAUGGGUUUGAGCCUUACCUGUUUCUGUGUUGUUGCUGUAACUCCACCACUUUGUAUGAUUGGCUUUUUUACCUGAUCUCAGUCUUGCAUGGGGGAUUGGAUCCUAGCGCCAAAUGCAGCAUGCAAGACUAGAAUUGCAACUGAGGACACUUUUUAGAAAGAGUACUGAUAGUCGAGACUAGAAUUCUUCCAGAAGUAAUUAACUGUCCAUUGACUGGGAUGCUGUCUGGCCAGAGAAUCUGGUUUGGCACUUCAGAAAUUUCUGUAAAAAAAGCGUCUCUGGAAAUCCUUUGUGCGCACUGCUCAGAGAUGAAGACUGUUCUGGAAGAGCUGAUAAGUGAUGUGAUUAUUUUAACUACUCACUGCUUAUUUGCUGUUCAGAGUAUUGCUGCACAGGAUUUCCAUAUCAUCCACGUUGAUCCGACUCUUGUAAUACAAGAUGUCCCUGCGCAGAAGGUCCUGCAAGAGAGAUCACAACAGAUGUUGCUGUUUCAUGGGAUGAUGGAGCAUUUACCCUUCCUGGUUUCACUGCAGUCCUGUAAAAGAAAUGAAUUCUGGAUUUGAGUCUGUGGAACUGCAGAGUGCUGAGCUGCUCUGGGCACUGUUGGGGACCAUGUGGCUUCUUGUGGCAGUGGGGUCAGGACAGGCUGGUGUUUGUGUUGGGGCCUGUCUGCUGCAUGAAGCUCCGGUAUUACACAUGAUCCCAAAUCCUCUUUAAGCCUCUGACAGAAAACACUAUUCCAAUCCUUCAGUUCCAGUUAAAAAGCAACAAUAAUGCUAAUUAACUCUUGAUUUUUUUGUUGACAACCAAAAGUAACUUUGAGAGCAGCGAUUUUCA